GUGUUGGAGCAGGAGGGCCGGCGUGCCCCGGUGGAUCCCCACGAGGUGGCAGCAUGGGCUAACGCUGGCCGCGCUCGCUCGCCCGCCGGCGGCAGCGGCGCCGCGGCUGCGCUGCGGGAGAAGCGCCGCGACUGAGGGGUGCUGCUGAGCAGGCUGACGGCUUGGGUCACACUUGUCAGGCUGAAACAAUGCGUGGAAGCUCUUCGCUGUAACUUGCCUAUGUUCCAGGAAUCACUGGAGUUCUAAACGGAAAAUGUGAAACCUGUUCUUCUAAACUGAACAACAUACACAGCCAGAUUGGAGUGCUAGAGCAGUGGCCGGAACGAGGAGAAGAAUAAAUCCAAAGUUUUCAAGCAGACUUCAAUUAAAAGUAUGGAAAAUACUAGAAUAUAAGCAGAAAUGCUAGAAAUUUUUCAGAGUAUGUUUUUAUGUAUUUUAAAAGCACUGCUCAGUUACAUUCCAGGCAAAGUUGAUCAGUUCAUCCCUGGUCAGUUGUUUUCAGUCCUUCCAAGCAAGUCAUAGGUCUAAGAGUUCUGGAUACAUGUUUAGAAAUUCAAAUCAAGUUGUUUUCCUGGAGUUGCUGAUGAGUCCAGGAAAGGACCCACACAUUGGUUUGAAAGUACAGUUUUGUGUGUGGGUUUGUUGGGGUUUUUUUUUUUCCAGGUGCUUUUGAAAACCAUCCAUCUCAGAUGUGGUUCUGCAUGGAGUUUGCAGUUGAGGAAUGCCAUUAGGAAUGAGAUACGGGCUUUGAGAAAACAGUCACAGAACACCUAAAUCUUCCAGAGAAGAGGAAUUUAUGGUUCUCUUAUCAGAAGAAGCUAAUUUCUUCAGGCCUUGCUCAGACUCAAAGACGUGAUGGGGAUUAAAAGAAAUAGUUGACAUAUAGCAGACAGAGGUUCUUGUUUUAAAUAGAAUGUAUGCAUAACCAUGAAGGAUGUAUGAAUAUGCAACAGUGUAUGAUUUUUUAAGGGUGAUUCCUUUGUUCACAAAACAUGCUUUUUGUGACUUA